rnacentral:lncRNA from 10 species
GAAGAAAAGGGACAAUGCUAGAAGUGAGAUUUGAAUUAAAUAUAAAAGAAGCUAUAGAGGAAAUAGCUGACCGUGGGAAUGCUGAGAAUGCUACUGUUUGAGAGACUUUAGAGGUGAAGCUAGAGGAACCUGGAGGAGGGAAGUGAUUGUUGUGAAAAGAAUGAAGGUGUCUUAAAUGAAGUGACACUGGCAGAAAACUUCCCAUUAAAGGAACUCUCAGAGAUAUUCCCCAAGAGGGAAAGCACAAAGUAUAAAAUAUCAGAAGCUGAUCCAAACAUUAAAAGGAGUAUGAAAAUUCACCAAGGAAUACAAAGAUACUCUGUAUCUUUAAGUAACAGAAGAUGAAGGCAAACAUUGCUCAAAACAUUCUUGAAUCCAGGAUUUUAUUAAUAUCUUCAAAAUUUCUAAAGAAGUAUUGCAGACCAUCACUAAUUGAAUCCCUAGGAAUACAAUGGUGUCAGCUCAACUUCCCCAUCAUAUAAUCAACCAUGGUUAUAAUUUUAUAUUAAUUUCUAUUAGCAAUGCAAUCCAAUGUUUUGUCAAGACUGAAAGAUAAUACUACUCUUGUAUGAUAUUUUUAAACUAUUUAGAGAUAAAUUUUACUAUAUCUUUUACUACAAAAGUUUUAAAAAGACUGUGAAUGAGCCUAUCUAGAUUCCUCCUCUCUGGGAAGGGCAUCUCUGAAAGAAAGGCAGCAGCCCCAGUCAGGGGCUUAUAAGUAAAACUCCCAUCUCCCUGGGACAGAGUACCUGGGGAAAUGGCAGCUGUGGGCACAACUUCAGCAGACUUAAAUGUUCCUGCCUGCCAGCUCUGAAGAGAGCACCAGAUCUCCCAGCACAGUGCUCAAGCUCUGCUAAGGGACAGGCUGCCUUCUCAAGUGGGUCCCUGACCACCAUGCCUCCUGCCUAGGAGACACCUCCCAGCAGGGGUCGACAGACACUUCAUACAGCAGAGCUCCUGCUGGCAUCUGGCAGGUGCCCCUCUGUGACAAAGCUUCCAGAGGAAGUAACAGGCAGCAAUCUUUGCUGUUCUGCAGCCUCCGCUGGUGACACCCAGGCAAACAGGGUCUGGAGUGGACCUCCAGCAAACUCCAACAGACUUGCAGCAGAGGGGCCUAACUGUUAGAAGGAAAACUAACAAACAGAAAGGAAAAAGCAUCAACAUCAACAAAAAGUAUGUCCACACAAAAACCCCAUCCGAAGGUCACCAAAACGAAAGACCAAAGGUAGAUAAAUCUACGAAGAUAAGGAAAAACAAGAACAAAAAGGCUGAAAAUUCUAAAAAAGAGUAUGCCUCUUCUCCUCUGAAGGAACACAACUCCUUGCCAGCAAGGAAACAAAACUGGAUGGAGAAUGAGUUUAACAAUUUGACAAAAGUAGGCUUCAGAAAGUGGGUAAUAGCAAACUCCUCCAAGCUAAAAAAGCAUAUUCUAACCCAAAGCAAGGAAGCUAAGAGCCUUGAAAAAAGGUUACAGGAAUUGCUAACUAAAAUAACCAGUUUAGAGAAGAACAUAAAUGGCAUGAUGGAGCUGAAAAACACUGCAAGAGAACCUUGUGAAGCAUACACAAGUAUCAAUAGCUGAAUCGAUCAAGUGAAAGAAAGGAUAUCAGAGAUUGAAGAUCAACUUAAUGAAAUAAAUCGUUAAGAAAAGAUUGAGAAAAAAGAAUGAAAAGGAACUAACAAAGCCUACAAGAAAUGUUGGUCUAUGUGAAAAGACCAAACCUACAUUUGAUUGGUGUAUUUGAAAGUGAUGGGGAAAAUGAAACCAAGUUUGAAAACACUCUUCAGUAUAUUAUCCAGGAGAACUUCCCCAGCCUAGCAAGACUGGCCAACAUUCAAAUUCGGGAAAUACAGAGAACACCACAAAGAUGAUGAUCAUUAAAAAGUCAGGAAACAACAGAUGCCGGAGAGGAUGUGGAGAAAUAAGAAUGCUUUUACACUGUUGGUGGGAGUGUAAAUUAGUUCAACCAUUGUGGAAGACAGUGUGGUGAUUCCUCAAGGAUCUAGAACUAGAAAUACCAUUUGAUCCUGCAAUCUCAUUGUUGGAUAUAUACCCAAAGGAUUAUAAAUCAUUCUACUGUAAAGACACAUGCACAUGUAUGUUUAUUGUGGCACUAAUCACAAUAACAAAGACUUGGAACCAACCCAAAUGCCCAUCAAUGAUAGACUGGAUCAAGAAAAUGUGGCACAUAUACACCAUGGAAUAUUAUGCAGCCAUAAAAAAGGAUGAUUUCAUGUCCUUUGCAGGGACAUGGAUGAAGCUGGAAACCAUCAUUCUCAGCAAACUAACACAGGAACAGAAAACCAAACAUACAUGUUCUCACUCAUAAGUGGGAGUUGAACAAUGAGAACACAUUGACACAGGGCAGGGAACAUCACACACUGGGGCCUGUCAGAGGAUGAGGGGUUAAGGCAGGGAUAGCAUUAGGAGAAAUACCUAAUCUGGAUGAUGGGUUAGUGGGUGCAGCAAACCACCAUGGCACGUGUAUAUCUAUUUAACAAACCUGCACAUUCUGCACAAGUAUUCGAGAGCUUAAAAUAUAAUUAAAAAAAGAAAAAAGAAAGUACUUAAUGUUUACAGCAGGCGAAUAAAGACCAUAUGAAGGUCUUGGGGCUUUUUGCUUAAUUUUUCCUGCCUUUUAACAUACUGCAAACAUGUCAUUUGUUUAGGAGAGAAAAAAAAGACUGUUAAUGGAUCAAAGAAUAUAGAAUGACAUUGAAUUUUUUCACACACUUUUAGAUGUUGCCAAUUAUAUUUACCAUGCAUGGUGGCAUUGUCAUAUCCUGAAUCUUCAAAUUAUUUUGUUUAUAUUUAACUUUUGUAACUUGUCUAUUAAUGUUGUAUAUAACUUUUGUAACUUGUCUAUUAAUGUUGUAUAUAAUUUUUCUAGUAAUUCCAUACACUGGGAAAUUUAUUCAACACACAAAAAGUGUUUUAAAUGGAAUUAUAUGCACUUGGAAAUACAUAAAUUAAUAAUAAUAAUCUGCUAUACCUAGCUUAUAUUUGAGGAUAUGUCGUCAAACCUUAGUGGACAAUAUAUAGAAUUUCUUACUUUAAUUAAAUUUACUUGAUUCAUCAUAUCUACCAUAAUCCUAAUUGUUUAGUUUUGUAUUUUAUACCCUAAGUAAUAUGCUAUAUUAUUUGAUGGUAAUAUUAGUCAUCUAUACAAAUGUUCCACCAUAAUUUGCUGUGAUAUUUGCAAGUGAAGACAAUAGUAAUACAUUUUCUUGGAUGAUGCUCUGGAUUCCUGACUUUGUCCUGCCAAAAACUGAACCACUCAUAUCACAUGUCAUUCACAUAUGUCAAUAAUUUCAUAUAGUUCAUUUACUUUAAAAAUGUAGAAAUAGGGGUGGUUCCAAGAUGGCCAAAUAGGAACAGCUCCAGUCUAUAGCUCCCAGCAUGAGUGACGCAGAAAAUGGGUGAUUUCUGCAUUUCCAACUGAGAUACUGGGUUCAUCUCACCGGAGAUUGUCGGACAGUGGGUGCAGGACACUGGGUGCAGUGCACCGAGUGUGAGCUGAAGCAGAGCGAGGCAUUGCCUCACCUGGGAAGUGCAAGGGGUCAGGGAAUUCCCUUUCCUAGCCAAGGGAAGGGGGGACAAGCAGCACCUGGAAAAUCGGGUCACUCCCACCCUAAUACUGCACUUUUCCAAUGGUCUUAGCAAAUGGCACACAAGGAGAUUAUAUCCCGCACCUGGCUCGGAGGGUCCUAAGCCCACGGAGCCUCACUCAUUGCUAGCACAGCAGUCUGAGAUCUAACCGCAAUGCAGCAGUGAGGCUGGGGGAGAGGCACCCCCCAUUGCUGAGGCUUGAGUAGGUAAACAAAGUGGCCAGGAAGCUCAAACUGGGUGGAGCCCACCAUAGCUCAAGGAGGCCUGCCUGCCUCUGUAGACUCCACCUCUUGGGGCAGGGCAUAGCUGAACAAAAGGCAGCAGAAUCCUCUGCAGACUUAAAUGUCCCUGUCUGACAGCUUGGAAGAGAGUAGUGGUUCUCCCAGCAUGCAGCUUCAGAUCUGAGAAGGGAAAGACUGCCUCCUCAAGUGGGUCCCUGACCCCCAAGUAGCCUAACUGGGAGGCUUCCCAGUAGGGGCAGACUGACACCUCAGACAGCCGGGUACCCCUCUGAGACAAAACUUCCAGAGGAAUGAUCAGGCAGUAACAUUUGCUGUUCACCAAUAUUCGCCGUUCUACAGCCUCCACUGCUGACACGGGCAAACAGGGUCUGGAGUGGACCUCCAGCAAACUACAACAGACCUGCUGCUGAGGGUCCUGACUGUUAGAAGGAAAACUAACAAAUAGAAAGGACAUCCUCACCAAAACCCCAUCUGUACGUCACCAUCAUCAAAGACCAAAGGUAGAUAAACCACAAAGAUGGGGAAAAAACAGAGCAGAAAAACUGAAAAUUCUAAAAAUCAGAGCACCUCUCCUCCUCCAAAGGAAUGCAGCACCUCACCAGCAAUGGAGCAAAGAUGGAUGGAGAAUGACUUUGAUGAAUUGAGAGAAGAAGGCUACAGAUGAUCAAAUUUCUCGGAGCUAAAGAGGGAAGUUCGAACCCAUGGCAAAGAAGUUGAAAAUCUUGAAAAGAAAUUAGACAAUGGCUAACUAGAAUAACCAAUGCAGAGAAGUCCUUAAAGGACCUGAUGGAGCUGAAAACCAUGGCACGAGAACUAUGUGAUGAAUGCACAAGCUUCAGUAGCCAAUUUGAUCAACUGGAAGAAAGGGUAUCAGUGAUGGAAGAUCAAAUGAAUGAAAUGAAGUGAGAAGGGAAGUUUAGAGAAAAAAGAAUAAAAAGAAACAAACAAAGCCUCCAAGAAAUAUGGGACUAUGUGAAAAGACCAAAUCUACAUCUGAUUGGUGUACCUGAAAGUGACAGGGAGAAUGCAACUAAGUUGCAAAACACUCUGCAGGAUAUUAUCCAGGAGAACUUCCCCAACCUAGAAAGGCAGGCCAACAUUCAAAUUCAG